GGGGGCCCGCAAGCGGUGGAGCAUGUGGUUUAAUUCGAUGCAACGCGAAAAACCUUACCUGGUCUUGACAUCCAUAGAAUUUGAUAGAAAUAUCAAAGUGCCUUCGGGAACUAUGAGACAGGUGCUGCAUGGCUGUCGUCAGCUCGUGUUGUGAAAUGUUGGGUUAAGUCCCGCAACGAGCGCAACCCUUAUCCUUUGUUGCCAUCAGGUAAAGCUGGGAACUCAAAGGAGACUGCCGGUUAUAAACCGGAGGAAGGUGGGGACGACGUCAAGUCAUCAGGGCCCUUACGACCAGGGCUACACACGUGCUACAAUGGUAUAUACAAAGAGAUGCAACUCUGCAAGGAUAAGCAAACCUCAUAAAGUGUAUCGUAGUCCGGACUGGAGUCUGCAACUCGACUCCACGAAGUCGGAAUCGCUAGUAAUCGUGGAUCAGAAUGCCACGGUGAAUACGUUCCCGGGGCCUUGUACACACC
rnacentral:rRNA from 1 species